AUACAGCUCCCUAUAUACAAUUCUGUCACCAUGGGGAUGGGCUAGGGCUUUUUCCAGUUGGUCCAGACCCCUCUGUCUGCCCGGAGAAGCCAAGACCAGAGAACUGUGAUUGGUCCACACAACAUGGGAUGAGGAGCUUGACUGAGAAAGGGAGGAGAGAUAUAAAUGAUAUAUCUCUAAGAUGAUAUAUCUUGAGCUGAUGGUAGAGGCGGG